UACAGAGGUCUCGAGCGUUAGGCGGAAUCACUGGGCUUAAAGCGUGUGUAGGUGGAUCGUUAAGUACCUUGUGAAAUCCCACGGCUUAACCGUGGAACUGCUUGGUAUACUGGCGGUCUUGAGCCAGCUAGGGGCUACCGGAACAAAUGGUGGAGCGGUGAAAUGCGUAGAUAUCUAGAGGAACACCGGUGGCGAAAGCGACACCCUGGCCCGCAACUGACGCUGAGGCGCGAAAGCGUGGGUAGCAAACAGG
rnacentral:rRNA from 1 species